rnacentral:rRNA from 1 species
CACGUAGGCGGACUGGAAAGUUGGAGGUGAAAUCCCAGGGCUCAACCUUGGAACUGCCUUCAAAACUAUCAGUCUGGAGUUCGAGAGAGGUGAGUGGAAUUCCGAGUGUAGAGGUGAAAUUCGUAGAUAUUCGGAGGAACACCAGUGGCGAAGGCAGCUCACUGGCUCGAUACUGACGCUGAGGUGCGAAAGCGUGGGGAGCAAACA